rnacentral:rRNA from 1 species
UACGUAGGGUGCAAGCGUUGUCCGGAAUUAUUGGGCGUAAAGGGCUCGUAGGCGGUCCAUCACGUCGGGAGUGAAAAGCUGGGGCUUAACCCCAGUCCUGCUUCCGAUACGGGUGGACUAGAGGUAGGCAGGGGAGAAUGGAAUUCCCGGUGUAGCGGUGAAAUGCGCAGAUAUCGGGAGGAACACCGGUGGCGAAGGCGGUUCUCUGGGCCUUACCUGACGCUGAGGAGCGAAAGCGUGGGGAGCGAACAGG